rnacentral:rRNA from 1 species
AACGAACGCUGGCGGCAGGCUUAACACAUGCAAGUCGAACGCCCCGCAAGGGGAGUGGCAGACGGGUGAGUAACGCGUGGGAAUCUACCUAGUUCUACGGAACAACUGAGGGAAACUUCAGCUAAUACCGUAUACGCCCUACGGGGGAAAGAUUUAUCGGAAUUAGAUGAGCCCGCGUAAGAUUAGCUAGUUGGUGAGGUAAUGGCUCACCAAGGCGACGAUCUUUAGCUGGUCUGAGAGGAUGAUCAGCCACACUGGGACUGAGACACGGCCCAGACUCCUGCGGGAGGCAGCAGUGGGGAAUAUUGGAUAAUGGGCGCAAGCCUGAUCCAGCCAUGCCGCGUGAGUGGUGAAGGCCUUAGGGUUGUAAAGCUCUUUCAGUGGGGAAGAUAAUGACGGUACCCACAGAAGAAGCCCCGGCUAACUUCGUGCCAGCCGCCGCCGUAACAC